rnacentral:rRNA from 1 species
CCCUUAGAUGUUCUGGGCAGCACGCGCGCUACAAUGGUCUUCGCAAACGGAUGCAUUCUCGAAGGAGAAUGCCAAUCUUGGAAUCUAUGCCUUGGUCGGGACAGUUGCUUGCAAUUUUUCGACUCGAACCAGGAAUUCCUUGUAAUCGUGAUUCAUCACAUCACGAUGAAUACGUCCCUGCCCUUUGUACACACCGCCCGUCGCUCCUACCGAUCGAAGAGUUAGGUGAAUUGUUUUGAUCGAUAAGGUUUGACUAUGGUCAACUCUCGUUGUGAAAUUCUCUGAAUCUGACUGUUUAGAGGAAGGAAAAGUCGUAACA